rnacentral:rRNA from 1 species
UACAGAGGUGUCGAGCGUUGUUCGGAUUUACUGGGCGUAAAGGGUGCGUAGGCGGUCUUGUGUGUCGGAUGUGAAAGCCUGUCGCUUAACGACAGAACGGCAUCUGAAACUACAGGACUUGAGUUCAGGAGAGGAUGGCGGAAUUCUCGGUGUAGCGGUGAAAUGCGUAGAUAUCGAGAGGAACACCCGUGGCGAAGGCGGCCAUCUGGACUGAUACUGACGCUGAGGCACGAAGGCCGGGGGAG